rnacentral:tRNA from 1 species
GCAAUUGUAGUCCAAGGGAAGGACGCCGCUCUACGGAAGCGGAGAUGCGCGUUCAAAUCGUGCCAGUUGCCC